rnacentral:rRNA from 1 species
GUGAGUAGUUCAGAGUUUGAUCCUGGCUCAGGACGAACGCUGGCGGCGUGCCUAACACAUGCAAGUCGAACGGACGAGGGGAGCUUGCUCCCUGAGUUAGUGGCGAACGGGUGAGUAACGCGUGAGAAACCUGCCUUUCAGUGGGGGACAACAGUUGGAAACGGCUGCUAAUACCGCAUAAUGUGCCGGGAGGGCAUCCUCCUGGUACCAAAGCUUUAUGUGCUGAAAGAUGGUCUCGCGUCUGAUUAGCUAGUUGGUGGGGUAACGGCCCACCAAGGCGACGAUCAGUAGCCGGUCUGAGAGGAUGAACGGCCACAUUGGGACUGAGAUACGGCCCAG